CCAAGCAAGGAGACCCAUGUGGGGCUCAAUCCCAGGAGCCAGGGUCAUAACCUGAGCCUAAGUCUCUUACAGGAACCUUUCCACUUUGUCUUCUGGGGAUUUAUAAUGUAUUUAUUGAGACGGGGCACAAGGCAGAAUGUUAAUUAUGUGCUAAAUUCAAAGUUAAAGUACCAGGGUAACUCGGAAAAGGGAGAACACAGUUUGUCCUGGAAUCAUUAAGGAACGCUUCAAAGAGAUAGGUCAUUUUGUUCUGAAUAUCCCUGUAAUGUACACAAUCAAUAGAUCUUUAUCAUCAACUAAUCUUGAAAAGUUCCCAAAAGAGAAAGAGAGAGAAUGAGAGGAAAUCAGCCCAGCUGCAGAAGGAGCUACCAAUAUACCAGCAAAUCCACACAAGCGGUGGCUUGAUAAGCAUUUGUGCAUUGAGUCUUACCCUCUCUGAACACUCCUGCCGCAGUGUGAAGCCAGCAUGAAACACAUGGAGAGAGGCCCAGCUGGCCUAGGGGUCCAGUCGUCCCCGCUGAGACCCCAGGCAUGAUUGAGAAGUUGUCUUAGACCAUCCAGGCCCAGUUGAAGUCACAGAU